GAAGUCGACCGUUAAAAUAUUCGCGCGUGAGCCUCUCUAUCUCCACCUUUUUCUUUCUCUUUCUCUUUCUGUCCAGCAUCAGCUUCGUCCUGUCAUAGCCUCACGACCGGUUUUCUCCCAUAUCCUUUCUUUUUCCAAUCUCCGCGUUCCCCCAUAUAAUACGCUAAAUUCAGAACAAUUUGCAUUAGUAUUUUCUUAACAUUUUUCACAAAUUUCCUCGUGACCGUUGGGUGUGACGCCAUAUUGGCGCUUUUUUCAUCCUAUUUUUCCCCCCUCUCUGUUUCUCUUUUUCUCUCUCUCUUUCUCUAAAUUAUCGAGCGUCUCGUAUUAUCAUUUGAAAACCGUGACGGUUGUACCAUGGUUGUACCGCGGAUGUUCUGUUCUCGUCUAACUCGUGCCCAAAUCACCGGAAAAAAGAAAAGAAAGCGUCGAAGAAGUAUGAAUGCUCGACUGCAUAUAACUCUCUGCACUUAAUUUAUGAAAAACACGUACAUAUGUAUAUAUGUAUACUUUCUGGAUAGUCGAAACGUGAGCUUUCUCGUAUGUCAGGCAUAUUAUACUGUAUGUAUUGUUCUCUUCUUCAAGAGUUUCUCUCUCGUCAAAAGAAUAAAAGAGUUGAAAGAAGAAUAAAAGAUCGAAGUCUUCGAGUUGGCCCGCUUCGGUCACUUUGACGUGCUUUGUUUCAAGUAUUAUCUCCUCUGUUCUUUAUGUAUGAUAUUCUUUAUGCGUGUACAUAUACGUAUUGUCUGUAUAUGUAUGUUUGCCAGUGAAGUUCUUUAAUUCAAUAAACUUCGUGUCACCGUU